rnacentral:piRNA from 1 species
UAGAACUCUUCACACGAGGUGCUGUUACUA